UAGGGAAUCUUCAGCAAUGGACGAAAGUCUGACCGAGCAACGCCGCGUGAGUGAAGAAGGUUUUCGGAUCGUAAAACUCUGUUGUUAGAGAAGAACAAGGACGUUAGUAACUGAACGUCCCCUGACGGUAUCUAACCAGAAAGCCACGGCUAACUACGUGCCAGCAGCCGCGGUAAUACGUAGGUGGCAAGCGUUGUCCGGAUUUAUUGGGCGUAAAGCGAGCGCAGGCGGUUUCUUAAGUCUGAUGUGAAAGCCCCCGGCUCAACCGGGGAGGGUCAUUGGAAACUGGGAGACUUGAGUGAAGAAGAGGAGAGUGGAAUUCCAUGUGUAGCGGUGAAAUGCGUAGAUAUAUGGAGGAACACCAGUGGCGAAGGCGGCUCUCUGGUCUGUAACUGACGCUGAGGCUCGAAAGCGUGGGGAGCAAACAGG
rnacentral:rRNA from 1 species